GAGGAAAAGAAACUAACAAGGAUUCCCCUAGUAACGGCGAGUGAACCGGGAAAAGCUCAAAUUUGAAAUCUGGCUGUCUUCGAUAGUCCGAGUUGUAAUCUAUAGAAGCGUUUUCCGUGCUGAACUGUGUCUAAGUCCCUUGGAACAGGGUAUCAAAGAGGGUGAUAAUCCCGUACUUGACACAACCAUCAGUGCUCUGUGAUACGUUCUCUACGAGUCGAGUUGUUUGGGAAUGCAGCUCAAAAUGGGUGGUAAAUUCCAUCUAAAGCUAAAUAUUGGCGAGAGACCGAUAGCGAACAAGUACCGUGAGGGAAAGAUGAAAAGCACUUUGGAAAGAGAGUUAAACAGUACGUGAAAUUGUUGAAAGGGAAACGAUUGAAGUCAGUCGUGUUCAUUGGAUUCAGCUAGUUCUUCUAGUCUACUUCCUUUGAACGGGUCAACAUCAGUUUUGUCCGGUGGAUAAAGGAUUUAGGAAUGUGACUCCCUCGGGAGUGUUAUAGCCUAGGUUCACAUACACUGGGUGAGACUGAGGACUGCAGCUCGCCUUUUGGCCGGGGUUCGCCCACGUUCGAGCUUAGGAUGUUGACAUAAUGGCUUUAAACGACC
rnacentral:rRNA from 1 species